CGGGUGAGUAUCGCGUGGGUAAUCUACCUUGAGGUGGGGGAUAGCCUCGGGAAACCGAGGGUAAUACCGCAUGAGUCCUCAAUGACAUAAGUCGAUGAGGGGAAAGGCGGGGCUCCUUCGGGACCUGUCGCCUCUAGAUGAGCCCGCGUCCGAUUAGCUAGUUGGUGGGGUAAUGGCCUACCAAGGCAACGAUCGGUAGCCGGCCUGAGAGGGUGAACGGCCACAUUGGGACUGAGACACGGCCCAG
rnacentral:rRNA from 1 species